CAAGCGUAAAGGGGGGAGGGGGGGCGGGCAGGCGGAACCGACAAUCGGAGAGCAGGUUCGAGGGCAUAAGAGAGGCCGAAUCUGGGGAAGAAGCGGACCAGCAGGCCUUGUCUAGAGGACAAGAGGGACCAGGUUGGGAGGGAAGAGGAGGCGACAAAGAGGAGCGGUUCAAGGGAGAGGCCCAAGUCCACAAGUGUCGAGGGAGGACCUGGGAGCGCAGCUCGUCAGCCAAUCAGCAAGAAAGUCUGAACAGUUUACCGGACGAAAGGACGGACCGUCCUUCCUAUUGGCGAUACUCUUGCCCGAUCGACAACCAAUCCGACCAAUAGAAGAGCAGUAUUUCUUCCCUUUUAUCGAGCAAUUUGCUUCAUACUGCGCAUGUCUCCCUCAGUUCAACGCAAAGAGUUCUCCCCUCCCUCCCCCAACGUGCGUCAUUCUCCGCUAAGGAGAUGCGGUUCCUGAGUGGAUUUCUAGAAAGAAAGCUAACGUUUCGGAGAUCCCUUUGGUGGCUCAUGAGUCCACUUAAAAGCAAAAAAGCCCCGAACCACAAAAUAAUUAGUUGUCCGAUUAGCAAGCUUCGGGUGAGGAUAGGACCAUUGCCCAAGACAGAAGUCUCUGGGGUGAGAUUCGAUAUACACCGCUCCUUCCCAAAUCCAAAUUCUCAGCACCCUUUGUUCAUCUCCUUCAUUUUACAAUGACAACAGACCCAAAGAGGACAAGUAGCUUGCCUAGAGUUUCACCAGCAGUGAGUGUUGACUGGUAGAGAGGGAACUAAAGCCCAAGCUGACUGUUACCAUAUAUAUAAUGUGUCAGAUGUGGCAACCCCUUCCUCCCCGUCCUGUCCUUUUUAUCGUUAUUAAUUCUUUUUGCUUUUAUAUUACAGUAAUUUCCAGAUAGAUCCUCCAGUCAUUCCCCUAAUGAGAUUUCCCUCGUUCAAACAGUUAAACCUGCUACAUUGAAGAAAAACUGAAAAGCAAACGACGUAGCUACAGGUCUGACACAGUGUCCAUCUUAUAAAUGAAAGAAGGGAGACCAGCAUUGGUCGUUACAAUUUAUACUGCUCUUUGCUUCAUUCUCGUUCUGUUCUCAUUCUCGUUCUGUUCAACACUAAGAGAUCUUAACCGUA